rnacentral:sRNA from 1 species
CUCCGAUUUCAUGAUUUCAGCUCUCCUGGAACGUUGACAUAUAAUAGUCGCGACAAAUACAAAAACGUAUGCAAAGCAAAAUACAACAAGAAACAGGCCCUCUUUUCAUGAACCACGAUUAGCAAGCCACUCUGCAACGUCCUCAUCGAGGUCUGGUUCAUACAGCCACCUUAAUUGGCCGCCUUCUCCCGUGGUUGCUGAAUCGUCAGCCCAGACUGAACCUGGUGGAAGCUUGGCUUGUUCUGCAGGGGGCAGACGCUUGGCAUUCAUCUUCUGAGUAAGAUCCAGGAUUUUAUCGAUCCGGCGCUGGCGGUAUUGCUGCCAAAAUUUCAAAGCCUCCCCGAGGGAUGUCUUUUGGGACAGAUUUGAGAGCAGUAAAGCCAGCAUAUUCACAUCUUCGAACGCUUGAUUGACUCCCUGACCGGCUGUGGGCGGGAUUGCAUGUGCAGCAUCGCCCAGCACAAUAACCCUAUCAGUGGAGCUGGCCCACUUGCUGAACUUUGGGAUCCCGUAGAAUGGCCAGAUACCCAUGUUCUCAACAGGUGCAUUUUCGAGUGCAGAUUGGACAAUGUCGGGCCAGUCGCCCUGAUUCUCUCGCAGCAUGUCCAAUAGCCCUUGCUUGUCGGCUGCCAGAGCAUCCCAACCAUCCUUAUCCUUCUCGGGAAAACGUCGCUGUGAACCAAUUAGGAGCUGAGAGCCGUCAAUCUCUUGGGGGACCAUCAAAAACGCGCCAACUUUGGACAAAAUCUGCGCAGGGAGAUAGAAGUUCUCAGGAAUGCGAAGGCUGGACCGGGGACAGACACUACUAAUAGCCAUCAUACCAGAAUAAACCGGUUUCACGUCUGGAACAAUAUGGUUGCGGACAGUUGAAUGGAUACCAUCAGCACCAAUCACUAUAGCGGAAGUUUUGACCGAUCCGUCGGCAAACUCAAUCACGACUUCGUCUUGCGAAUCACGGAUGACUUUCGAGAAUUGCUUGUUGAAAUCCGUACAGCUUCUCGGAACCAAAAUAGUAG